GCGGUCGUGGCGAAGUGGCUAACGCACCGGAUUGUGGCUCCGGCAUUCGAGGGUUCAAUUCCCUCCGAUCGCC
rnacentral:tRNA from 1 species